CAACCCCAAAAUCCCAGUAUAAAAGACUAUACUACUCUUAACCAUUCUCUCAAGCUAUGAGAUCGAAACAGAAAGUGGCCAUGGCUUACAGGUCCCUCUGGUGCUUUCUCUUCGUCAUGUUGGUCUUCCUUGCAUCAGAGGAGAACGUGGUGCAUGCGGGUAGGAAGCUGUGUGACUCUCUGAGCCAUAAAUUCAGGGGUUUGUGCUUAAGCCACGGGAACUGUGCUAAUGUGUGUCGGACUGAGGGUUUUCCCGGCGGUCAUUGCAAAGGGUUCCGGCGUCGUUGCUUCUGUGAGAAGAAUUGUCAUUGAAUGCAUAGAUACUAAGCAAAACCUUUGAUGCAAAACCUUUGACAAAUCAAAGCUGAUGAUCAGGUCUUGUAGCAGCUCUAUAGCUCCCAUGCUAGUAUAAACUUGCUAAAGUAGUUACUGUAAUAGAUGUUUCUUAGGUUAAUUUCUAUAAGUUGUUCCUGUAAUAAAUGCUUCUUAAGUUAAUUUCUAUUUUUGAUUUUCUA